rnacentral:rRNA from 1 species
AUUGAACGCUGGCGGCAUGCCUUACACAUGCAAGUCGAACGGUAACGGGUCCUUCGGGAUGCCGACGAGUGGCGAACGGGUGAGUAAUAUAUCGGAACGUGCCCAGUAGUGGGGGAUAACUGCUCGAAAGAGCAGCUAAUACCGCAUACGACCUGAGGGUGAAAGGGGGGGAUCGCAAGACCUCUCGCUAUUGGAGCGGCCGAUAUCAGAUUAGCUAGUUGGUGGGGUAAAGGCCUACCAAGGCAACGAUCUGUAGUUGGUCUGAGAGGACGACCAGCCACACUGGGACUGAGACACGGCCCAGACUCCUACGGGAGGCAGCAGUGGGGAAUUUUGGACAAUGGGCGCAAGCCUGAUCCAGCAAUGCCGCGUGCAGGAAGAAGGCCUUCGGGUUGUAAACUGCUUUUGUCAGGGAAGAAAUCUUCUGGGCUAAUACCCCGGGAGGAUGACGGUACCUGAAGAAUAAGCACCGGCUAACUACGUGCCAGCAGCCGCGGUAAUACGUAGGGUGCGAGCGUUAAUCGGAAUUACUGGGCGUAAAGCGUGCGCAGGCGGCUUUGCAAGACAGAUGUGAAAUCCCCGGGCUCAACCUGGGAACUGCAUUUGUGACUGCAAGGCUAGAGUACGGCAGAGGGGGAUGGAAUUCCGCGUGUAGCAGUGAAAUGCGUAGAUAUGCGGAGGAACACCAAUGGCGAAGGCAAUCCCCUGGGCCUGUACUGACGCUCAUGCACGAAAGCGUGGGGAGCAAACAGGAUUAGAUACCCUGGUAGUCCACGCCCUAAACGAUGUCAACUGGUUGUUGGACGGCUUGCUGUUCAGUAACGAAGCUAACGCGUGAAGUUGACCGCCUGGGGAGUACGGCCGCAAGGUUGAAACUCAGAGGAAUUGACGGGGACCCGCACAAGCGGUGGAUGAUGUGGUUUAAUUCGAUGCAACGCGAAAAACCUUACCUACCCUUGACAUGUCAAGAAUUCUGCAGAGAUGUGGAAGUGCUCGAAAGAGAACUUGAACACAGGUGCUGCAUGGCCGUCGUCAGCUCGUGUCGUGAGAUGUUGGGUUAAGUCCCGCAACGAGCGCAACCCUUGUCAUUAGUUGCUACGCAAGAGCACUCUAAUGAGACUGCCGGUGACAAACCGGAGGAAGGUGGGGAUGACGUCAGGUCCUCAUGGCCCUUAUGGGUAGGGCUACACACGUCAUACAAUGGCCGGUACAGAGGGCUGCCAACCCGCGAGGGGGAGCCAAUCCCAGAAAACCGGUCGUAGUCCGGAUCGUAGUCUGCAACUCGACUGCGUGAAGUCGGAAUCGCUAGUAAUCGCGGAUCAGCUUGCCGCGGUGAAUACGUUCCCGGGUCU